GAUGAAGAACGCAGCGAAAUGCGAUAAGUAGUGUGAAUUGCAGAAUUCAGUGAAUCAUCGAAUCUUUGAACGCACAUUGCGCCCAUUAGUAUUCUAGUGGGCAUGCCUGUUCGAGCGUCAUUUCAACCCUCAAGCCUCAGUUGCUUGGUGUUGGGAGCUUAUCCUGCCAAAAAGGCGGACAACUCCUUAAAACCAUUGGCGGAGUCGCGGUGACCCCAAGCGUAGUAAUUUUUACUUUCUCGCUUUAGGUAUCAACGCUGGCCUUUAGCCGUUAAGCCCUCUAAAUUUUUAGUGGUUGACCUCGGAUCAGGUAGGACUACCCGCUGAACUUAAGCAUAUCAAUAAGCGGAGGA
rnacentral:misc_RNA from 1 species